rnacentral:rRNA from 1 species
UACAGAGGGUGCGAGCGUUGUUCGGAAUUAUUGGGCGUAAAGGGCGCGUAGGCGGUGCGGUAAGUCACCUGUGAAAUCUCCUGGCUCAACUGGGAGCUUGCAGGCGAAACUGCCGUGCUGGAGUGUGGGAGAGGUGCGUGGAAUUCCUGGUGUAGCGGUGAAAUGCGUAGAUAUCAGGAGGAACACCUGUGGCGAAAGCGGCGCACUGGACCACAACUGACGCUGAGGCGCGAAAGCUAGGGGAGCAAGCAGG